GGGGCUGUAGCUCAGUGGCAGAGUGCUUGCCUAGCAUGCAUGAGGCACUGGGUUCGAUCCUCAGCACCACA
rnacentral:tRNA from 1 species